rnacentral:rRNA from 1 species
AGUGAACGCUGGCGGCGUGCUUAACACAUGCAAGUCGAUCGGUAACGCGGGGGCAACCCUGGCGACGAGAGGCGGACGGGUGAGGAACGCUUGGGAAUCUGCCUAUCAGCGGGGGACAACACGGGGAAACUCGUGCUAAUACCGCAUACGCUCUACCGAGGAAAGCCGGGGACCGCAAGGCCUGGCACUGAUAGAUGAGCCCAAGCCGGAUUAGCUAGUUGGCGGGGUAACGGCCCACCAAGGCGACGAUCCGUAGCUGGUCUGAGAGGACGAUCAGCCACACUGGGACUGAGACACGGCCCAGACUCCUACGGGAGGCAGCAGUGGGGAAUAUUGGACAAUGGGGGAAACCCUGAUCCAGCGACGCCGCGUGGGUGAGGAAGGCCUGCGGGUUGUAAAGCCCUUUCGGUAGGGACGAAAGCUCUCGACCUAACACGUCGGGAGGUUGACUUAACCUACAGAAGAAGCACCGGUUAACUCUGUGCCAGCCGCCGCCGUAAUAC